AUGCAGUCGAACGGCGUAGGUACUUGGCAUUGCUAAGUACCUACGUAGUGGCGGACGGGUGAGUAACACGUGAGAAUCUGCCUUGAGGACGGGGAUAACAGUAGGAAACCACUGCUAAUACCGGAUAAGCCGAAAGGUGAAAAGAAAUUUGCCUGAAGAGGAGCUCGCGUCUGAUUAGCUAGAUGGUGAGGUAAAAGCUUACCAUGGCGACGAUCAGUAGCUGGUCUGAGAGGAUGAGCAGCCACACUGGGACUGAGACACGGCCCAGACUCCUACGGGAGGCAGCAGUGGGGAAUUUUCCGCAAUGGGCGCAAGCCUGACGGAGCAAUACCGCGUGAGGGAGGAAGGCUCUUGGGUUGUAAACCUCAAAAAUUAGGGAAGAAGAAAGUGACGGUACCUAAUGUAAGCAUCGGCUAACUCCGUGCCAGCAGCCGCGGUAAUACG
rnacentral:rRNA from 1 species